GACGAACGCUGGCGGCGUGCUUAACACAUGCAAGUCGAACGGAAAGGCCCUGCUUUUGUGGGGUGCUCGAGUGGCGAACGGGUGAGUAACACGUGAGUAACCUGCCCUUGACUUUGGGAUAACUUCAGGAAACUGGGGCUAAUACCGGAUAGGAGCUCCUGCUGCAUGGUGGGGGUUGGAAAGUUUCGGCGGUUGGGGCUGGACUCGCGGCUUAUCAGCUUGUUGGUGGGGUAGUGGCUUACCAAGGCUUUGACGGGUAGCCGGCCUGAGAGGGUGACCGGCCACAUUGGGACUGAGAUACGGCCCAGACUCCUACGGGAGGCAGCAGUGGGGAAUAUUGCACAAUGGGCGGAAGCCUGAUGCAGCAACGCCGCGUGCGGGAUGACGGCCUUCGGGUUGGAAACCGCUUUCGCCUGUGACGAAGCGUGAGUGACGGUAAUGGGUAAAGAAGCACCGGCUAACUACGUG
rnacentral:rRNA from 1 species